AGAGUUUGAUCCUGGCUCAGAAUGAACGUUGGCGGCGUGGAUUAGGCAUGCAAGUCGUACGGUAAGCUUCGGCUUAUAGUGGCGAAAGGGAGAGUAACGCGUGGUUACAUGCCCUCGGGACCGGGAUAGCGGCGGGAAACUGCCGGUAAUACCGGAUAAUAUCUUUGGAUCAAAGGUGUGAUUCCGCCCGAGGAUUGGACCGCGUUCUAUUAGCUUGUUGGCGGGGUAAUGGCCCACCAAGGCGACGAUGGAUACCGGGUGUGAGAGCAUGGCCCGGCUCACUGGGACUGAGACACUGCCCAGACACCUACGGGUGGCUGCAGUCGAGAAUCUUCGGCAAUGGGGGCAACCCUGACCGAGCGACGCCGCGUGCGGGACGAAGGCCUUCGGGUUGUAAACCGCUGUCAGUUGGGAGGAAGUGCCGGGGGGUUCUCCCCUCGGUUUGACCGAUCUUCAGAGGAAGGACGGGCUAAGUUCGUGCCAGCAGCCGCGGUAAGACGAACCGUCCAAACGUUAUUCGGUAUCACUGGGCUUAAAGCGUGCGUAGGCGGCCUGGUAGGUGAGGUGUGAAAGCCCACGGCUCAACCGUGGAAUUGCGCUUCAAACCACCAGGCUGGAGGAUGGCAGGGGUGAUGGGAACUGAUGGUGGAGCGGUGAAAUGCGUUGAUAUCAUCAGGAACACCGGUGGCGAAGGCGCAUCACUGGGCCAUUUCUGACGCUGAGGCACGAAAGCUAGGGUAGCGAACGGGAUUAGAUACCCCGGUAGUCCUAGCUGUAAACGAUGAGCACUGGGUUGAGGGGACCUCCACAUCUUCUCGGCCGUAGCGAAAGCGUUAAGUGCUCCGCCUGGGGAGUAUGGCCGCAAGGCUGAAACUCAAAGGAAUUGACGGGGGCUCACACAAGCGGUGGAGGAUGUGGCUUAAUUCGAGGCUACGCGAAGAACCUUAUCCUAGACUUGACAUGCUUAAGAAUCUUCUGGA
rnacentral:rRNA from 1 species